rnacentral:ncRNA from 2 species
CUAUAAUAGCUGGGUCGUGGUGCUUUAUUGCAGUGCAAUAAAGUUAAACGGGAAACACUAAACGUGUGCUGCCCCCGCAACGGUAAGUAAAUGCGCCCUUAAGCUGCAAUUUUGGGUGUCAGGAGUCUGAAUGAGCCACUGUGCGCGUCAAUUGCAUGGGAAGGCCAGAUUCUGAGAUUUACUAGCCCGGAUACCGGCCAAGACAGGUGGAAUUUU